UAUUUACAACUUUCAGCAAUGGAUCUCUUGGUUCUCGCAUCGAUGAAGAACGCAGUGAAAUGCGAUAACUGGUGUGAAUUGCAUCCAUGUAACUCUAAUUUACGAAUAACACCAAGUGAAUCAUCGAGUCUUUGAACGCAAUUGCGCCCUCUCGGUCGCUUCCAAUUGGGGGUUGACUCAUAGGGGGUACAUCUGUUUGAGGGUCAUUUGUACCUCUCAAAGGAUUGGCUUUAGAGCUAAUUCUUUGGAUUUGGGUCUUGCUGUGGAGUUCUCUCAGCUUACCUUGAAAGCAUUAGCGAGCUUUUUCUGAGUCUUUUUUUCAGAUUGAGGCGUUCUUAACGCGUUUACGUCUCAAAAGAAAGAAAGAACAGAGUCCUAAAGCCUGCUUCUAAUGGCCUCAUUUUUUUCAAUGACCUCAAAUCAGAUGAGACUACCCGCUGAACUUAAGCAUAUCAAUAAGCGGAGGAAAAGAAACUAACAAGGAUUCCCUCAGUAACGGCGAGUGAAGAGGGAAGAGCUCAGUUUUGAAAUCUGGCAGUCAUUCACUGUCCGAGUUGUAAAUUGAAGAGAGUGUCAUCCACACUGGACCAUGUCUAAAUUGUAAUGAUCCACAGUCCUUUGAUGGAGUAUCAGAGAGGGUAAUAAUCCCGUCUUUAACGUGGACUCCCAGUGUUUAUGUGAUGCAUUCUCUCAGAGUCGAGUAGUUUGGGAAUGCUGCUCUAAUGGGAGGUAAACUCCUUCUAAAGCUAAAUAUUGGCGAGAGACCGAUAGCGAACAAGUACCGUGAGGGAAAGAUGAAAAGAACUCUGAAAAGAGAGUCAAACAGAACGUGAAAUUGCUGAAAGGGAAGCGUUUGGAGUCAGAUGCGUCUUCAUGGAAUAACGACUCAGUUAGCAGAGACUGAGGUCAGUGACUUGAAGAUGGGCCAGCACUCACGUAGACCAUUGAAAAAGGGGUCAUUGGAAUGUAGCUCAAUUUAUUGAGUGAUUAUAGCCUUGAUUCAUAUACAGUGUGUGUUAUGUGAGAUUGACAGCACGACUUUAGUGCUUGCUUGACUGGCAUAAUGGCUCUAAGCGACCCGUCUUGAAACACGGACC
rnacentral:rRNA from 1 species